rnacentral:rRNA from 1 species
GAUGAACGCUGACAGAAUGCUUAACACAUGCAAGUCGAUGGGGAAGUGGUGCUUGCACCAUGGCAACCAUGGCGGACGGGUGAGUAACGCGUAAGGGACUUACCUGCAGGACUGGGAUAACAGGGGGAAACUCCUGACAAGACCGGAUAAUGUCAUGGAGCUGCAUGGCUUUAUGAUGAAAGGAGACGCCUGCGGAGAGCCUUGCGUCCUAUUAGCUAGUUGGUGAGGUAAUGGCUCACCAAGGCGAAGAUAGGUAGCCGGCCUGAGAGGGUGGACGGCCACGAGGGGACUGAGAUACGGCACUUACUCCUACGGGAGGCAGCAGUGGAGAAUAUUGGACAAUGGGGGCAACCCUGAUCCAGCAAUUCUGUGUGCACGAAGAAGGUUUUCGGAUUGUAAAGUGCUUUCAGCAGGGAAGAAGUAAGUGACGGUACCUGCAGAAGAAGCGACGGCUAAAUACGUG